UACGUAGGGUGCAAGCGUUGUCCGGAAUUAUUGGGCGUAAAGAGCUUGUAGGCGGUUUGUCGCGUCUGCUGUGAAAUUUCGGGGCUCAACCCCGAACUUGCAGUGGGUACGGGCAGACUAGAGUGUGGUAGGGGAGACUGGAAUUCCUGGUGUAGAGGUGAAAUUCGUAGAUAUCAGGAGGAACACCGGUGGCGAAGGCGGCUUUCUGGACGACAACUGACGCUGAGACGCGAAAGCGUGGGGAGCAAACAGG
rnacentral:rRNA from 1 species